GGAAAUUAAAAUUAGUUAAAAAAAUGUUUUACCUUGUUGUCCAAGCCCUGCAUAACUAUUAGUCCAAAUUGUUAAUGCAUAGAUGAACAUAUCCAAAAAUUAAACCUUAAAGCCCAAGCCAUAGACCUCAAUAUCAUAAGAACAGUUUGCAUAUUUUAAUUCCAAAAUAUUAUCUAUUAAAUGAUUCUCAUUAUCGACAGAAUGCGAAUGCUUUUCUAAUUCCAAUUUGAAUUUUAAAUAAGAAACCAGAGAGUUGUUGAGUGAAAUUUCAUAUCAUAGAUGACCUUUUUGACUCAGUUAUUCAAUUCAGGGACUUGUAUCAUGCAUUGCAUUGCAGUUUGGCAUCAGGCACUCCUACAUUUGUCACCAUAUGCUGAUAGACAUUUGAAACCAUUCCAUACUAAAUAUUCGUUAAAAAAAAGUGAGUUUUGAUUAUGAUUUUAUCAAGGUGUUUUUAUUUUUAUAUUUAUAUUUUAACUCAUUGUUACUUAUUGCAAUUGUUAUUAAAAGAUUUAUGUUUAAUUGUUUUAUUAUUUUGUAUUACUUAAAAUUAGACGUAUGAAUUGAGGGUAAAUAUCAUCUUGAGAAUCUUAAUAGCUUACUCUUUUAUAUCAACUUAAUAUAUUUAGAAAUAUUAUUCUUAAAGUGUUUGCUCAUAUUUUUAUUUACAUUAUGUUGUGCUGUAAUUAUGCUAUUUUAAAAUUUUUAAUUGUACAUAUUUAAAUUAAUUUUUGUAGUAUAAUUAUUUUGAAUUAAUCGAGAAAUAUGUUCUAACAUAGAAGGCAAACCUGUUGAAUAUAUACAAAGAAAUCACUCUUAGCUUGCAAAUCAAUUGGUUAAUGCGGUUUCAAUAGAGCUAAAUAAAAAAAUUGAGUUUCAAUAGAG
rnacentral:misc_RNA from 1 species